rnacentral:lncRNA from 1 species
CGUAAUGAAUUCCUCAAGAACGCCUUUGUAUUGUGGAAUUUUUUACGGUUAUUCUUUGCCAUGAAAAAUCUUGAAAUAUAAACAUAAACACAGUUCAUUCUGACUGGAUUAGAUCUCAGAGAAAAGUUUGAAAAGUACUCAUAAGAUAAUGCAGUAAAAUACAUCAGAGAAAAGCUCGCUGUGUACUCAAAACAUGGUUAACACUGCAUUCUGACUUGGAUUAAAACUCAAUACUGGCAAAUACUACUCGUCCGGGGUUAUUUAUUUACCAUAGCUAAACUAUUAACCCCAGAUUUGAAAUCCAGUCCCUUAAUCACAACCGUGCUCAUUACUCUUUGAUCUCCAAUUCCUUCAGAAAAUCUGCGUGAUCGACCAGAACCUAAAUACAACAGAAACGGUGAAACGAGCUUACAUCAAGAUGAAGCUAUCACUAUGGGCUAACCAAUGUUCAGAACAAGUCAC